UCCGCAGGCGGUUUUUUAAGUCAGAGGUGAAAUCCUGCAGCUCAACUGUAGAAUUGCCUUUGAUACUGAAAGACUUGAGUUAUUGUGAAGUGGUUAGAAUGUGUGGUGUAGCGGUGAAAUGCAUAGAUAUCACACAGAAUACCAAUUGCGAAGGCAGAUCACUAACAAUAUACUGACGCUCAGGGACGAAAGCGUGGGUAGCGAACAGGAUUAGAUACCCUGGUAGUCCACGCCGUAAACGAUGGAUACUAGCUGUAUGUCUGCCUCAGGUAGAUGUGUGGCUAAGCGAAAGUGAUAAGUAUCCCACCUGGGGAGUACGAUCGCAAGAUUGAAACUCAAAGGAAUUGACGGGGGCCCGCACAAGCGGUGGAGCAUGUGGUUUAAUUCGAUGA
rnacentral:rRNA from 1 species